GACGAACGCUGGCGGCGUGCUUAACACAUGCAAGUCGAACGGAAAGGCCCUGCUUUUGUGGGGUACUCGAGUGGCGAACUGGUGAGUAACACGUGAGUAACCUGCCCUUGACUUUGGGAUAACUUCAGGAAACUGGGGCUAAUACCGGAUAGGAGCUCCUGCUGCAUGGUGGGGGUUGGAAAGUUUCGGCGGUUGGGGAUGGACUCGCGGCUUAUCAGCUUGUUGGUGGGGUAGUGGCUUACCAAGGCUUUGACGGGUAGCCGGCCUGAGAGGGUGACCGGCCACAUUGGGACUGAGAUACGGCCCAGACUCCUACGGGAGGCAGCAGUGGGGAAUAUUGCACAAUGGGCGGAAGCCUGAUGCAGCAACGCCGCGUGCGGGAUGACGGCCUUCGGGUUGUAAACCGCUUUCGCCUGUGACGAAGCGUGAGUGACGGUAAUGGGUAAAGAAGCACCGGCUAACUACGUG
rnacentral:rRNA from 1 species